AAUAAAGUGCCUGAUUAAAGGAUUAUUCUGAUAGAAUAAAUUAAGUAGUAUAACUACCUUUAUUA
rnacentral:tRNA from 1 species